rnacentral:rRNA from 1 species
UACAGAGGUGGCAAGCGUUGCUCGGUAUCACUGGGCUUAAAGGGCGCGUAGGCGGUGCGGUACGGUUUCGGUGAAAUCCCUCGGCCCAACCGAGGAACAGCCGGGGCUACGGCCGCGCUAGACGGCAUCAGGGGACAGUGGAACUUCCGGUGGAGCGGUGAAAUGCGUAGAUAUCGGAAGGAACGCCGGUGGCGAAGCGAACUGUCUGAGGUGCCGUGUGACGCUGAGGCGCGAAAGCCAGGGGAUCAAAACGGGG